GAGAGAGGAAGUGAUUAUUGGAUGACAGGCUGCCUCCUAGGGGGCUUCUCUGGGCUUGCCAUGAAAGCACUUCCGGAGGAAAAGCAGAGCUCCAUCAGUCUCUUUUGGAGAGCUGUGAACGUGACCAGACCUAUUAAUUACUUAACUGAGGUGCUGAACUUUGAAAAUGAAAGUUCCGGUGGGGAGUUCUGUCCUUUCCAGCCUGGGGAGCUCUGUCAGGGCUCUCCUGAGCGUCUCUUUCAGCUUAUCAAGCUCGCUCGGGGACCGUCUCUGGGCCGUGUGUCUUUCUGUCUACGUGGCCCAGCCACAUUUGUAGCCCGUGGCCUGAUGGAGCUCUGAUGAGUCAGUUUCAUGUCAUUUUUUUUUUUUUUUUUCAGAGAGAGAGUCUCACUCUGUCACCCAGGCUGGAGUGCAGUGGCAUGAUCUCGGCUCACUGCAACCUCCGCCUCCUGGGUUCAAGUGAUUCUCCUGCCACAGCCCCUUGAGUAGUUGACGUUACAGGCACCCACCACCGCACCCAGAUACUUUUCGUAUUUUUAGUGGAGACGCUGUUUCACCAUGUUGGCCAGUUGGUCUCGAACUCCUGACCUCAAGUGAUCUGCCUGCCUUGGCCUCCCUAUGUGCUGGGUUAUAGGCGUAAGCCACUGUGCCCUGCUUCAUGUCAUUUUUAAAGAGCCCACACAACUCCUGUAGCUGCAUUACGACAACCUCAACGGCAAGACCUCGACGUGAUAUUACUCCACGUGAAAGUCUAAAAGGCGCUGAGCACAGUGCUCUGCCAAUGGUGUGUCUUCCAGCCUCGCUUGCUGAGAGAACAGAUGUGCCGGGGAAGAAAUGGACAAAGCUGGGAAAGGAGUCUAACUUCUUCAAAGCGGUUGGGCACCGCCGCCAUGUAGGAAGUGCCUUUAGCCUUCUGCCAUGAUUGUGAGGCCUCCCCAGCCAUGUGCAACUACUGGGAAAGUGAGGUGCAGAGGUAUUUUGCAACGUGCCCACAGAACCCCAGCGAGCCCGUGUUGGAGUUACAACUGUGCCUCAGGGAGCAUUCUCAGGCAGCAUUCUCUUAUGCUUCACCGUCUCACAGAUGAUAAGGUUUCAUUCAAGGACUUACAACAGCAACCCGGAGGGAGCAUUCUCAGUGGCUGGUAGAUGCCAUUUGUACUGAGCAGGACAAUUAAGCCCAAUUCUGGAAAAAUUCUGCUUUCUCUAUUCAAUGCAUUUUAUAAAUGUCUUCACUCAGCACAUUUACCCUACUAAUUAUAUUUUGCUUUGUGAUCAUGGUAUGUCAUUUGCAUUCCUUCAGCACACACUGACUGAUGGGGAAGAGAUGUUGGGUGACCCAGGCAAGCCAAACAGGAUUAAAGCCUGCUGUCUCACCAGGUGGAUAAUCCACUUUGAACACUUGAGAGGGGAGUGUUGAGAUCACACCCCUUCCCAUGGGACAUUUUUCUGGGAAAUAAAAUCGGUGACAAACACCACGCUUGAACACUCACAUUGACUCUAGGGUGCAGGCUGAGCUCAUCUGGUGCAGGGGAGUAAUGCAGAGGCGAGGCCUGAGUCAGCGCCAGGCACAGGAAGGGGAUGCAGGAUGCACCACAGCCCAUGCCUCUUAGGAGAAAAUCUGGGCCUUCUCCAUGGCUGUGUCUCUAUUAAUUUGCUAAGGCUGCCCAAAUAAAGCACCACACAUGGGCAGCUUACAUAACAGGAAUUUAUUCUCAGUUCUGGAGGCCGGCAGUCUGAGAUCAAGGUGUCAGCACAGCUGGUUCCUUCUGAGGACUGUGCAGGAGAAUCUGUUCCAGGCCUCUCCCUGAACUUCUGGGGGUCACUGGCCAUAUUUGGCAUUCCUUGGCUUAUAGAAGCAAUACCCCAAUUUCUGCCUUCAUCCGCAUGUGGCAUUCUCCCUGUGUGCGUGUUUCUGUGUCCACAUUUUUCCUUUUUAUAAGGAUACCAGUCAUGUUGGAGGUCUACCCUACUCCUUGAUGACCUUAUCUUAACUAGUUAUAUCUGCAACAAACCUAUUUCCAAAUUAGGUCACAUUCUGAGGUCCUGGGGGUUAGGACUUUAACAUAUGAAUUUUAAGAGGACACAGUCCAACCCAUAAUAGUAACUUUGUCCCUCUCUCUCUUUUGACACAAUAAUGACCCUAUGCAGGGAUAUUUCUAGGUGGCUACUGUCUGUGUGUGUGUGGUAGGGGGACUUCUAGUACUGUUUUGGAUUACUGUUGACAGACAGCAGCCUGAGGCUAGGAAGCACUUUGGGGCCAUGACUUAGAGCAAAGCUAGUAAGUUUUCUCAGGAAUUUGAACCCAGAAUUUCAUCCCCAUGGCACUUUAAUCCAGUACAUUUAAUGGCUCAGAUGACCCUGGCCUUAUCAGCCUGGUGCUCUAAGCAGCUGACCUAACAGUGUGUGCAUGCGUGUAUGCACAUGUGUAUGUUAUGUGCAUAUAUAAGUGCAUACACAUAAUGUUGGACACAGAAAUAUCUCUGAGAACUGUCCCUUUAUCACCCUUCAGAUAAAAUUAUUCUCAGCUUGCUUAGUUGCAGUGUUUCUUACUUUGCAUCUCCUAACACUUUCAUACAUUUCUCCCGAAGUGCAUAGGCAAGGAGCUUCAACGGAAUUCAAUGUCAACCUGGUCAUCUUACCAUGAUUUCUAGGAAAAAAUGUGUGUAAUUGGUUCAUGCCCUCCUUCUGUACAGAUUACAAUUCUCCUUUUUUGGCAUGAAAACCUCCAUCUGUCUUUUGAAAGCACAUGUCACUUAUUUAUUAAAGUCCUCCCCAACUUGUUCAGGUUGAGUUUCACUAGUACCUUUCUGGAGUAUUUUAUACCUAUGUUAUAGCCCCAUAUGUUAUACUUUGGAUGUCUGUUUACCUGUCUGUAAGACUGUCUGCAUAAUUCAUGGGCCUUGUACAAAAUAAGAAUUCAGGGACUCUUGUUACAAGAAACUAUUAAGAAUUUCAAGAUGGGUCAGGCGCGGUGGCUCACGCCUGUAAUCCCAACACUUUGGGAGGCUGAGGCGGGCAGAUCACGAGGUCAGGAGUUCGAGACCAGCCUGGCCAACAUGGCGAAACCCUGUCUCUACUAAAAAUACAAAAAUGAGCUGGGCGUGGUGGUGUCUGCCUGUAAUUCCAGCUACUCAGGAGGCUGAGGCAGGAGAAUCACUUGAACCUGGGAGGUGGAGGUUGCAGUGAGCCAAGAUCGCACGGUUGCACUUCAGCCUGGGAAAUGGAAUGAGACUCCAUCUCAAAAAAAAAAAAAAAAAUUAAGAUGGAGAUAGCAGAACCAUAUAGGAAGUGUGGGGUCCUUGUAAGAGUGUGGUCCAUAAACUUGGCUUUGUCUGUCUGCCUGGUUCAUGGAUUGUGACUAUCCUCAGUUCCCCAGUGCCCAUCAUUCAACAAAUGUUAGAUGAAUAAAUGAAUCAAUAUGUGAAUGACUGUAAGAAUAAGCUUUUGAUGAAAGGCAGCCAUUUUGUAAGCAAGACAUUGCUGCUUUUAAUUGUCCGCAGAAAGCCUCACAGAAUCACUGCGGUGAGAGGAAAAAAAGUGUCUGCAUGCAAUUAUUCGUAAUAACAAAUAAUCAUACUUUGUAUGCGUGUAAGACUUUUCAUGUUCAAAACACUUUCAAAACAUUAAUUAAUUCUUACAACAGCAUCAAUGAAAUUGAAACUAGAAGGAGAAUUUGAGGUAUGCAAAAUUUAAUUACCAAUAUUAAAAUUUGCCACACAACUCACACUCCUCCCACUGGGCCAGGAAACACAUUCCAUGCCAUCUUCUCUCCCUCUGAAAAAAACAUGAACAUGAGAACUUAGUUCUAUUAUAUCAGUCAGGAAGGAGGCAAAACUAUCUGUGGAGAAACCCCAAGGGGUGGGGAGAGGUAUUUAUACAUCUGAGGGAGGAUUGCAUUUAUUCAUCUGUGAGUUCCCUUUAGAUUCUGGGAUUUAGGAUUCUGGGAACCCAGGUAAGCAUCGUCAUGACCACAGGGUGGGCUCAUUUUGAAUAAAGAUGUGGGGAAUUCUGUGAGGUUAUAAGAUAAACCCCAGCCAGUUCUUUCCCCCGACCCCCAAGAAAUGGUGGUGACUUCUUAGAAUCCUGAGCCACAUUGGGAAACUCUGGUGGGGACUUUGUCUACAUUAUUGGAGGGUGGGUGGAGUGUGGGUGGGAAAGCUUGGCCUUAUACAAAGACAGCCCAAAGUGGGCAAUGUGGAGCUGCUUCUAGAACCCUGAACAUUCUGAACUUUUGGAUCCUCUAGGCUGGAGGGGUGGGGGUAGGCAUUGGUGCACCUUAGCAGGGGGAGGAGCUACCUGUCCUCUCUGGAGCAGAGAGAGCCUUCACACGGAGGACACCUGGGCUCUGUUUCCCAUGAGGCAUGAGGCCACUGGGUGGGGGGUGUCCUGGUGUCCUCAGCCAAGGACUCCUGCCUCCUGAAGGAAACGAGAGCAUAGCUCCACAUUCCCUAAGUGGGGCUGUGCAUCGUGACUUCCUUCCAAAGGGGACAGUGAAAAGUCGGGGGAGAUAAAAGGGUAACAUUCUGGAAGAGAGAUAUAACAAACGCUACUUCAGCCAGGCGAUCAAGGUCAACAUCAAGGCACAAAUGUUUGUUGUUUUCUUCUUCAGGCCUAGGUUUCUCCUCUGAAAUAACUUGAGCUCUUCAGAAGGUACAAAAUCUCUCUGACACUAAAGUUUAGUUUAACGACUGGCUAGAGACGUGGUAAUCAAGCAUCUCACUGACAAGCUUCUGUUUUCUUCUUCUUUGUGCAUGGCCAUGUCCAUGUACUGCCUGAUCCUACCCCUGUUUCCUACCUGUGCUCAGGAGCGGUGACUUCUAGGUCACAUCCUUUCUUGCUGACCCCACUUUGGUUCCUGACAUUUUUUGUGGUCCUCCUGCAGACCAUUUAAGAUCAAUGUUAAAGCAAACUAAAUAUGGCCUGAGAAGGACUCCAUAUUUCUAUAUUUGAGUCCUGUGGAUGAACUGUAACCUAGCUUAAUGGUCAGACAAAAUUAAAAACCUAACUUAAUAGUAUGCACCUGUAACAAUAGCUAAGGGUUGGCCAAUCCCAGUGGUCAUAAUUCAACCACUCAUAGACUCCUGAAUGUUCAAACUGCGUUCAAAUAAGGCAAACGCCAAGCUGUAACCAAUCUCACUGUAUCUGUACCUCACUUCCGAUUCUUGUACAUCACUCUACCUGUUUGGUCUAUAAAUUUGUUCUGACCACGAGGCACCCCUGGAGUCUCCGUGAAUCUGCUGUGUUCCUGGGGGCUGCCCGAUUCACAAAUUGUUCAUUGCUCAGUUAAACUCCUUUAAACUUGAUUCGGCUGAAGAUUUUCUUCUAGCAUCAGUCAUGAGGUCCCAUGAGACAGCAGUGACAGAACUGGAAGAUACUUUAGACAGUAAUUCUUGGUGGGAAGAUACCUUGAGUUGAACCCAGAGUCUUGAAACUAAAAUACUAAAGAUACUUUGCACUGGGGUGGUGGUGAGAGAAGUAUUUCUUUUAAAAAACUCCCAACCACUACCCAAGCCUGAUUCCUGCAAUGUACAGCAAUGAAGGCAGAUGAAGCUUCCUGGCCUUAGGUUGAACAUACAGCCCUUUCCACUUUGGGUUGGCUAGUGUCAUGUAACUCUUUUUAGUUUCUUUAUUAUUAUUAUUAUUUUUGAGAUGGAGUCUCGCUCUGUCGCCCAGGCUAG
rnacentral:lncRNA from 10 species